CCAAAAGUAAGGAGACACACGAAAAUGCAGGCGAUAUUCCUAGUGACUGUCUUCACAAUCCUUCUUGUCUCUGCUGAUGCAGCUGUACUGGGAGAGACAUGUACCGCUCCCACAGAUUGUACUGUCACUAACUCCGACUGUCUAUCAUUGGUGUGCAAGUGUAAAGCUGGCUACGCUCAGUCUGGCACAAGCUGCAUUGCCGUUGGAGGGUCUUGCCCUUCAGGUGGUACAUGCACUGCCCCCCUAGUAUGCGAC